rnacentral:rRNA from 1 species
CACGUAGGGCGCAAGCGUUGUCCGGAAUUAUUGGGCGUAAAGAGCUCGUAGGCGGUCUGUUGCGUCUGCUGUGAAAACCCGGGGCUUAACCCCUGGCUUGCAGUGGAUACGGACAGACUAGAGGUAGGUAGGGGAGAAUGGAAUUCCCGGUGUAGCGGUGAAAUGCGCAGAUAUCGGGAGGAACACCGAUGGCGAAGGCAGGUCUCUGGGCCAUAACUGACGCUGAGAAGCGAAAGCAUGGGGAGCGAACAGG